AACAUUGAAGGUGGUGCAUUCCAUAUGCAUGAUGCAUACGACUCUAUACUUCAGGUAAGUGAUGAUCUUCUCAUGCGGCUCGAUCAUUAUCGAUCUUAAUAUUUGAUACUAAAUUUUUUAUUAUUUUUUUUAGCUCACCCAUCAUGUAGACUACUAUAUCGAGGCGAUGCGUGAAGCUCGGCACAUCUCAAGGGAGGUCGAGAAAAAAGCCGACCAGGCUAGUAGAAGGGCAGAUGACAUCCAACUGGCAAAGCUGAAAGCCGAAGAGAAGGCUAAGUCGCUGGAGGAGGAAAUAAAGUGACUAGAAUUCAAGCUCUCAAAAGCUCGGGUCGAAUUUGAAGCUCGACUAUCGGUUGAGAAAAAAAAGUACGAGGA
rnacentral:lncRNA from 1 species